rnacentral:rRNA from 1 species
GAUGAACGCUAGCGAGAGGCUUAACACAUGCAAGUCGAGGGGCAGCAUAGGGUAGCAAUACUCUGAUGGCGACCGGCAAACGGGUGAGUAACGCGUAUGCAACCUACCCUGUACAGGGGGAUAACCCGGAGAAACUCGGACUAAUAUCCCGUAAUAAUAUCCGGAGGCAUCUUUGGAUAUUUAAAGUUCCGACGGUACGGGAUGGGCAUGCGUAACAUUAGCUGGUUGGUAAGGUAACGGCUUACCAAGGCUAUGAUGUUUAGGGGUCCUGAGAGGGUGGUCCCCCACACUGGUACUGAGACACGGACCAGACUCCUACGGGAGGCAGCAGUGAGGAAUAUUGGUCAAUGGGCGCAAGCCUGAACCAGCCAUCCCGCGUGCAGGAAGACGGCCCUAUGGGUUGUAAACUGCUUUUCCAGGGAGAGAAACUUACGCACGUGUUGCGUGACUGACGGUACCCUGGGAAUAAGCAUCGGCUAACUCCGUGCCAGCAGCCGCGGUAAUAGUGUG